rnacentral:rRNA from 1 species
UACGGAGGGUGCAAGCGUUGUUCGGAAUCACUGGGCGUAAAGGGCGUGUAGGCGGCCCGCUAAGUCUGAUGUGAAAGCCCGAGGCUUACCCUCGGAAGUGCAUUGGAGACUGGCGGGCUAGAGUCCCGGAGAGGAAGGUGGAAUUCCUGGUGUAGCGGUGAAAUGCGUAGAUAUCAGGAGGAACACCGGUGGCGAAGGCGGCCUUCUGGACGGUGACUGACGCUGAGACGCGAAAGCGUGGGGAGCAAACAGG